rnacentral:lncRNA from 1 species
UCUUUAAAUAGUGAAAUUUGUACUGUGCAUACUCUAAAAGCCUUUAAGCUUAGUAUUUCUCUCAUGGAUUUGUAGAAUGUUAAAUUGCAUCAGAAAAUGGACAUUGAUUGGAUUCUUUCUAGUGCUGCAGAUGCAGAUUAUGUGUGUACUGGAGAGCCCUUUCCAAUUCAGUGGGUCAGUCAUAGAUGUUUAAAUAUUGUUGGCAUCACAAUAAUACAUGUCUAGGUAAAUAAGACAGUUACAUUUAUUUAGAAUAGACAGGCUUAAGAUUGUAGAUAUUUCUCUUCAAAAACUAUUUCAAACAUUUGCAUUUUGGGAUUAUGUGUUAAACAGAAUGUAUGAAACACUAUUAGUUAAUUUCAUCAUCACCUUUCUAUUUCCCUUAUAAGUUGGAAAAGAAGGAUGAGCUUUUCACUCUUUAUAAUUCCCAAACAGUUGCUCAAUUUAGAGUGAAUUAAACACCUGCAAAAAAGAAAGUUACUGCUGGUUUAUCACUUAGCUGUCUCUAUAUCUGUGCUCAUGAGACUUCUGUCACAUCAAAACCUAUUUCUUGAAUGGUUCGCAUUUAGCUCUGGAACUUAACCAUGUUUGAUAAUGGUGGGCUUAGGACAUAAGACUUUUCCUGACAGUUAAGAAUUUUGGUGGAAAAAAUUUAGCUGGAGGGCAAUACAUAACUUACAAACCAAUGUAUUGAUACUUUACCAACAUUUUUACAUAUAUGAGUGAAGUCAACUGCCAUUUUUGAGCAUUACCACAUUUUAAAAUAAAGCUGCAUAUUUUUAAAUGAAAUGUUUAACAAGG